GCCCAGAGAGGCUGUAGAGAGUUUAAAAGGAAGGAGUGAGAGGGAUCACCAGACCAUGAAGCAUCCCCUGUGGGAGGAAGGAGGAGCUCAAGGUCAGGAGAGCACUGUUCCCUGGGAGAACAUGAAGAUGGCCAUCUACGAGCCAAGGAGAGGGGCCUCAGAAGAAACCAGUCCUGCUGACACCUUGCUGUUGAACUUCCAGCCUCCAGAAUUGUGGGAGAAAUAAAUGUUGUUUAAGCUGCCCUGCCUGGCACCCUGUCAUGGCAGCCCUAGCAAACUAGUCCAGCUGCACUUGUCUGCGUGGAGACCUCUGACCCCAGGGCAAAUGUUCCAGCUCGUCUUCCCUCCUUUGCCCUGCUAUUUCCCCUACCGGUUGGCUCCUCCUGCCUGCUGGCUCUGCAGUGGUACCAACACCGAAGCAGGGGUCAGCAGGGGUGUGCUCUGGGGACCUGAAGCUGGCCCAGGAGGGUCAGGGAUGGGCACAGCAGUGGGGAGAGGACAAAGCUAGAGUCAGUGCAGCCUUGGACCGACCACAGGAGCACUGUGGGCAGGCAGCCGGCAGGGGUAGUCUCGCUCUGUUUGAAUGAGACCUGCUGUGUUUGCUGAGCCAGGAGACAGGCCCUGACUUCCCUGAGCUUCCAGGACGUUGAAGCAUGGAAAGAGGUCGUUUUCCUUGGCCCAGCUUUGGGAGCCCAGGUCCGCAUAUGCCUCACAGCCCUCUGGGGGAGGCAG
ensembl:lncRNA novel transcript